rnacentral:rRNA from 1 species
AUUGAACGCUGGCGGCAGGCCUAACACAUGCAAGUCGAGCGGACGAAGGGAGCUUGCGCCUGGAUUCAGCGGCGGACGGGUGAGUAAUGCCUAGGAAUCUGCCUGGUAGGGGGGGAUAACGUCCGGAAACGGGCGCGAAUACCGCAUACGUCCUGAGGGAGAAAGUGGGGGAUCUUCGGACCUCACGCUAUCAGAUGUGCCUAGGUCGGAUUAGCUAGUUGGUGGGGUAAAGGCCUACCAAGGCGACGAUCCGUAACUGGUCUGAGAGGAUGAUCAGUCACACUGGAACUGAGACCCCGUCCAGACUCCUACGGGAGGCCGCCGUGGGGAAUAUUGGACACUGGGCGCAAGCCUGAUCCAGCCCUGCCGCGUGUGUGAAGAAGGUCUUCGGAUUGUAAAGCACUUUAAGUUGGGAGAAAGGGCAGUAAGUUACUACCUUGCUGUUUUGACGUUACCCACAGAAUACGCACCGGCUAACUUCGUG